rnacentral:antisense_RNA from 1 species
CUCCCGAGUCAUGUGGAAAUGCUCAUUCUGCAGCCUGUUUCGUGGUCUACAGACUCUAGCUCAAGCUACAGGAUCAAGGCUCUAUCCACGGAAGGUUGGCAUCUGAACUGUGUAAGGGUCUAAGGCUUAGACCACUUGAAGACUUCCCCAUCAUGAGAUGCUAGGUCUUUUAUUGGGUGCUGGUUCUUAACUCUGGACUUCUCUACAAGUUUUGUCAAACUAUCAAAUGCAGAGCAAAUUGGAGGCCUGCCAGAGCACCCAGAGGGUGGAAUGAAGCAACAGAGAGGCAUCAGGAAAGGAGAACACAGAUGGAGACAGAGAUGGGAGGCAUAAGCACCACCUACUGGCACAGGCUGUGCACUUGCACAGAUAGGAGAGCUGAAAAGUUGGUCACGGAUGGAAAUAACUGCUGGUUUCACAAAUGAGGAGGCGGAAAAUUCCACUUAAUUUCACUAUUACAAUGCUCAGCAGAAAAAAAAAAAAACACUUGGAUUGCUGAGCUACAGAACACCCAGACUCAUAGCACUGGGACUUCCAGGUCUUACCUUACGAGUGGGUCAAAACACUGACAAAGGGGACAAUAUCCAUUAGCCAUUAUCUUGCUGCGUAUGAAUAACCCUCUCUCACAAAAAAUAAAGAUAAAUAUGUUCUGAAAUAAUUGAUAAAAUUAAA